rnacentral:lncRNA from 1 species
AAAUUAAAUUUGGCACUCCAUUGAAUUGGAUCAGAUCCAACAGAUAAUCUCCAAGGUCAACCUAGGUUUUAGAUUUCAUAUAAGUAAGGUUGAAGGGGAGGUGUCUCAUGGCUAGAAUUCCAAGGUGAAAGCCAUUGGAUCUUUGUAUGUGUGCAUACAUGUUUAAAUGUGUUUAUGUGUAUGUACAUGUAUUAUGUUAUGUGUUAUAUCUAGCAUUCUACCACAUUAACUUAUAAAUAAAUGAGUACUCAUAAAUAAGUUCAAAUGCUUUCCAAGUUUAUAUAAAUUCAAUAAUCUUUGGUAAAUAAACUGGCUUUAAAAUUACUGGUAAAAUAAAAGUGUAUCUUCAAAAGUGUCAGCAUACAUUUUUGUCUGAGUUUGCUAGUAGAUACAUUUUAUAUUUGCUUCUGCUAGAUACUUUAUGGUGUCAGGGUUUAACAUGAAGGUUAUAAGACUGUAAACCCAGCCAAAAACAAAAUGAUCUUUGUUUGUGUGAUUUUUUUUAAUAAGCAAGAUUAAUUUGAUAUGGUUGGUUUAAUGGAAACAGCUGAAUUUUUCUGAGUUAUCAGCAAAAAUGCCCAUGUUUAACUUGAAGGUUCUUGCUUAGCUGAAUACCUGAUAUUCACAAGCUAUGAAAAUAGUUAACAGAAAAAUAGUUUGCAAUGAUAUGUAGCUUUACAGAAUGUCUUGGUUCUCACUAGUAACCCAGAUAAACUGCUAAAAGUGAAUAGAUUGAGUAAAUGUAAAUGAGAUCAACGCUUGUGGGUAAAACUUUCAUGUAGUUUAAACUCUUAAAGUUAUUUUAGGCACUCAUUGAAUGUCUUGAUCACUUCCAGUUUAAAAAAGGUUGUAAUAUGGGGGAAGCAUUGGUGGACUUCAGUGAGCUGGAUAAAAACAAAGACCAUAUCCAAAAAGUAAUUAAGGAACAAAAAAGGGAUGAUGGGCCAAAUGGGUGUCUGUACACUUGCCCCGGCCCAAACAGGCAAUAUAUAUGAAACAAUACUGUCUGCCAGGGGGACACUCUGAAAUCACCCAAACAGUUCAGGAAUUACAUAAAGUACAAAUAGUCAGUAUGGCCCACAACCCCUGUAGCAGCCCUAUGUGUCCUGUGAAGACACCAGAUAGCACCUGGAGAAUGACUGUAGACUACCGUGAGCUGAACAAAGUGGUGUCCCCGCACGUGCAGCUGUACCCAAUAGUGCUCAACUGCUAGAGCAAGUGGUUUGUACACUGGGAAAUGUCCAUGCUGUGACUGACCUGUCUAACAUCUUUCCUAGUAUUCCUUUAGUGGAAGAUUCACAAGACCAGUUUGCCUUCACUUAGUAGGGCCAAUGAUAGACUUUUUAGGUGCUACCACAAGGGUACCUGCACAGCCACAUCAUAUGUCACAGUAUGGUUGCAAAGGACCUGUCUAGACUCUUUCUGCCUGCCUUGGUCUCCCUGUUUUACCAUAUUAAUGAUGACAUGCAAACCUCAGAGCCUUUUACAGAUUUGGAGACUGCCCUACAAACUAUCUUGGAUGGCUCAAAGUACAGGGAAUGAGAAGUCAACCCCAAGAAGAAACAGGGG